AGUGAACGCUGGCGGUAGGCCUAACACAUGCAAGUCGAACGGCAGCACAGUAAGAGCUUGCUCUUACGGGUGGCGAGUGGCGGACGGGUGAGGAAUACAUCGGGAUCUACUUUUUCGUGGGGGAUAACGUAGGGAAACUUACGCUAAUACCGCAUACGACCUACGGGUGAAAGCAUGGGAUCUUCGGACCUUGCGCGAUUGAAUGAGCCGAUGUCGGAUUAGCUAGUUGGCGGGGUAAAGGCCCACCAAGGCGACGAUCCGUAGCUGGUGUGAGAGAAUGAUCGGCGACCCGGGAACUGGAACACGGUCAAGAGUCCUGCGGGAGGGAGCAGUGGGGAAUAUUGGACAAUGGGCGCAAGCAUGAUACAGCGAUACCGAGUGGGUGAAGAAGGCGUUCGGGUUGUAAAGACGUUUUGUUGGGAAAGAAAAGCAGCAGGUUAAUACCCCGCUGUUCUGACGGUACCCAAAGAAUAAGCACCGGCUAACUUCGUG
rnacentral:rRNA from 1 species